rnacentral:rRNA from 1 species
GACGAACGCUGGCGGCGUGCUUAACACAUGCAAGUCGAACGAUGAAGCCGGAGCUUGCUCUGGUGGAUUAGUGGCGAACGGGUGAGUAACACGUGAGUAACCUGCCCUUGACUCUGGGAUAACUGCUAGAAAUGGUAGCUAAUACCGGAUACGACCCUCGGAGGCAUCUCCAGGGGGUGGAAAGAAUUUCGGUCAAGGAUGGACUCGCGGCCUAUCAGCUAGUUGGUGAGGUAACGGCUCACCAAGGCGACGACGGGUAGCCGGCCUGAGAGGGUGACCGGCCACACUGGGACUGAGACACGGCCCAGACUCCUACGGGAGGCAGCAGUGGGGAAUAUUGCACAAUGGGCGCGAGCCUGAUGCAGCAACGCCGCGUGAGGGAUGACGGCCUUCGGGUUGUAAACCUCUUUUAGUAGGGAAGAAGCGAAAGUGACGGUACCUGCAGAAAAAGCACCGGCUAACUACGUGCCAGCAGCCGCCGUAA